CCCAAAGGACAACAUUAACCGAUGUCUAUCCCGUGUUUUUACUAACAAUUUAGGGGUACAGUGCUCCUGGAUGGGCCACAGAGGCAAUUUCAAGGUUCAAAACCUCACGAUCAUGAACGCUAUUAUUGAAGUGGUAAUGCUGCGCUACAAUAGCUUAAUUCAACUCAGCGAUCUUGAGCGAAAUGUGGGAGAAUGGUUUCGUCUUAGCAAACAAAGACUGCAGCGAGGCAAGGAAAAGGAUAAGGAAAAUGUCAACAAUUCGUAGUAUACGUUUGUCCUGAAGCAAUAUUUAAGAAUUCAUUUUAUUUAUUUUCCUGUUGAUUGUUGUUUUUUAUAAAUUGUAUUUUUUUUAUAUUAAUAUGGUAUUACCUAGGUAUAUUAUUUAUACGUAUAUGUAUUAUAAAUUUUUUGAAAUAGAAAACAUUUUGGUGAUA